UGGGGAAUUUUGGACAAUGGGGGCAACCCUGAUCCAGCCAUGCCGCGUGAGUGAAGAAGGCCUUCGGGUUGUAAAGCUCUUUCGGCCGGGAAGAAAUCGCACAGGCUAAUACCCUGUGUGGAUGACGGUACCGGAAUAAGAAGCACCGGCUAACUACGUGCCAGCAGCCGCGGUAAGACGUAGGGUGCGAGCGUUACUCGGAAUUACUGGGCGUAAAGCGUGCGCAGGCGGUUUUUUAAGACAGGCGUGAAAUCCCCGGGCUCAACCUGGGAACUGCGCUUGUGACUGGAAGGCUAGAGUAUGGCAGAGGGGGGUGGAAUUCCACGUGUAGCAGUGAAAUGCGUAGAGAUGUGGAGGAACACCGAUGGCGAAGGCAGCCCCCUGGGCCAAUACUGACGCUCAUGCGCGAAAGCGUGGGUAGCAAACA
rnacentral:rRNA from 1 species